GCUGUUGAUGCUGCUUGCUGUUGAUGCUGCUUGCAGUUGAUGCUGCUUGCUGUUGAUGCAGCUGCUGCAGCUAAAUCCCAUUGAAGCCACUACAAUGUAGUUGUCGCUGCUGCUUUAUAUGCUGUCAUUGAUCCUCCAAGAUAAAGAUUCAACUAUGUCUGACGUGCAGUUUGUAUGUCUUCAUGAGGUGGUGGCAUCAUGGCGCCAGAUGUUUGUUUAGCAGAAAGUCAGUUUCCAUCACUGGCAAGGUCCAUGGUACCUCUAAUUGGCAACUCGCUCUCUCCGUGAUGUGGUUAUCAUCUUGGACGUUACAAGAACAAAGUCGCAUUUCCCACAUUAUGAAGUUGAGAUGUACAUCCUGGAUGUGUAAGGUAUAAACACAAAGAUGUUGCAAGUUACCAUAUAAAGUGGGAUCCAAAGCAAUGAGUUUGCUUGUAAAACUCUUCUCAAGACCCGACCCGCCAUUCUCUAACUAGCAGUCCUGUAACUAUUAGCCUUUUUGAGGUAUGGCGUACGUGAUAGGAUUGUAUACUGUUUGGUUUCGGUAUAAAUGUAGACAAACUUACCCAAACCUAUUAGUGUUGUAGCAUUGUGUCCGCCAUAUCUCAAAAAGGCUUAUUGAGUUUAAUGGAGGCUGCCAAUUUAGCCUCAACUUGUCGCCUCAACUUGUCAAGAAAUAUUUUCAGCCAAAAACUGAAUGUUGAAACUGUUUCUUAUUUGCAUAAUUGUUUUUAACAAGAUUUAGGUUUCAAAAGAAUUUGUAAAGAACCCAAUUGUUUAGUGUUACAUCGCCAGUUCGGUCUAGCGCUCUCUUGAGGUCGCACUUGGUUCACUUCAUGUUAUGACAUCUCUGUAAUUGUUAGUGAUUCUGACCUGUUGGCAGUAUUAAAAGCCAUAGCUUCUCAUGACUAUGAGUUCUAUUUUGAUCGUGUAUGUUUAGACAUCCAACUACUACUUCCAUAGUGGGCCAGGGCGACUUUCAUAGUGGCGCCUGUGUGUUAAAUCGAAUGACAACUGCAAUUAUUGUGUGCAGUAAAAGUCUUAAGAUUUCAUCAAUAUCUGCAACCAGAAUAUAUUUGCCUAAAAUUAUUUCUAAGUUUACAAUUACAUACUUCCUUCGCGACAUGGAUGCCUUGCAUUGAUAAACUUGUCUACGCUGUGGUUCCACAAUGUGGUUUCACACUCUGUGGCGGAUUAACCCUAACAAACUAGACCCUUAGGUAAACAUGCUGCCCAAAUCCUUCCCUUCAGAUUCUUCUUCUUCUUCCUUUCUAGUGCUGCUUCAUUAUUGAAGAUCACUGCACUGCGGCAGGGCACACGCAUGAAACCAUAAACCAAAUCAAGUGCAAUAUAUAUAGACCUUUUCGCAAAUACUCGGGCGCGCGCGUAAAGCUUGGAGUUAGGUGCAUUGUGGUCUAGCUGGUGAUCAAAUUUGGUUUGUGCUUGCGCAAUGGUACUUGCGAAAAGGUCUAUGUAGGGAACCAAAGUGCACCCUCAUUGUUCAGUUGGUGUAAAAAGUAUACGUUUAAGUUGUCAUGUGACAAUCUUCCUCUUUUUUCUUUAGCUUCGUUUCUUGAAGGAGCACAUUUUGUUUGAGUGGUAAUUUUCUCUGGUAUAGAAGAGAUUAUUUUAUAUUCUUGAAAUUUAGCUUUUCAUUAUAAUGUUUUUUGUUGUAUUUUGGCGAAUGGUCGUCCUUUAUUAAUUUAGAGGACUGGAUCUCCUUCCCGUGUUGAUACCAACACUGGUCUCUUACAUAAACUUGGUGCAAGUUAAAUACUGGCCAGCAAGAUGACUGACUAAAUGAAAACCCUCAGUGCAUUCUUAAAUGCAUCCAGAGAGGGUGAGAGGGCAGGGUCCAUCUCCAAGCAGUUCCAGUUCCUAAUUGUGCGAGGAAAGAACGAUGACACGUAAACCUGAUUGCUGCAGUGAGGGAUGGAGAAGCAGGAUCCUUGUCCUCUAGUCUGGUAUUGUGCUUCAGUGAGGUGUGCUUGCCAGUUGAUGUCCACAAGAUCAAAUCGAAUGCGGUACAUCUUGGCAAGAUGACUUUGGAGACGUCUGCGUUCCAAGGUGGGCCACUGAAGGUCUUUGAUAAUGGUUGUUAUGCUGCUGGUAGGGUGAUAGUUACCGGUGACAUAGCGAGCACCUCUAUGUUGAACCAUCUCAAGCUUGUCGAUGUUAGGCUUUGUGUGUGGGUCCUGCGUUGAAGCUGCAUAUUCUACAAUCGGCCGAACAUAUGUUGUGUAUGUUGCCUGCUUGAUCUUUGGGUUACUUACUUACUUACUUAGGGGCUCCUGCGUGGUCCGACGCAUGAGGCAGUCAACGCUCUCCAGGCAGAUCGGUCAGCAGUCAGUGACCUGCCAUCACUCCGGCCUCUUUUGACCAUAUGAAGGUCCCGCUGGAUGGUCUGGUGCCAGUUCAUUUAAGGUCAGCCUCUCCUCCUUCCCGGCGGGUUCCACCACAGGACUUGAUUGGCGAGUCUCGAAGGGGGGAGCCGCAAAACAUGGCCCAGCCAGUUCAUGCGCCGCCCACAGAUUGUAUUGGACACUGGAGUUUGUUGUGAUUGUUCUCUGACCUCCUCGUUGCGUACGAAGUCAUUCCACUUAAUGCCAAAGAUCUUCUUUAGGCAUCUUGAGUCGAAGGCAUCAAGUUUCUUCUCUUGACUUGAUUUUAAGAGCCAAGUUUCGCAGCCAUUGGGUUGCAAUGUCUGAAAUUCCGGUUUAAAAAGGCUUGGGUGGAGUUUGCCUUCUUGGUUAAAGUUGUUAUAAGCCUAAAGUGCCCCAGUUCUUCUUGGUCAAGUUAUCUCUAUUAGAGAAGUUGAGUAAUUGGGACAGAUGAUGCGCUAGCUGAUACUGAGGAUUGAGAUUAGGACGCAUUAGUUCCCUACAUUUCAAGUUAAGCUCAAUGUUGGCAUAAGCCAUUAGAGUUAUAGUAAUUAGCUUGACCACAUCUUUGACGCCUUGCUUUGGCAGCAACUUCUCUGUUAGUUGUAACAGAGAAACAAGUUUAAAGUCAACAGUUUUUGGACUCCCAGGAACUGUAAGUCCCGUUUGUUAUUAGUGGUUUGUGCUGAUACAUGAAUGAUACAGUUCCUGCCCAAAAAUCGCGGUUGAGUUAAUUUCGUAACCAUUUUUUCAAAAAUAUACAAGUUUUCAAACAGAAUUGAGUAUACACACACUAAAAUAAAAAAUUAUUAAAAAAUAAGAUUGUAAAAAUCUGCUUUUAUAAUGUAACCAAUAGUGUUUAAGGAAGGCUGAUGAAGUGUCCAAAUUUCCUUUGAGAUGUGUAAUAAUAUUCUUCUUGCAUGUAGUUGUGGUGACACUACUUUGCCCCUGUGGCGCCCUCUUGUGAUUCCAAUGAUGUGAGAUACACCAGGUUAUUGCAAUGUACAUGUAGUAGUUAUUACAGUAGUUUCUAAAGUUUAAAAACCAGGUCGGUGCUAAUUUAUGAAGUUUAUGUUGUGCUGAUUUUUAAAAUGAAGUUUUUGAGAUAUCAUUAUUGUGAAACUUGCAACUUCUGAUAAGAAAGGAGGAAAGAUACAGCCUUAAAGAUGCUAUGUCAGAUUUUUGGCCCCAAACAUUAAAAAAUAGAUUUUUUUUUAGUGAAUGGUAUU